rnacentral:lncRNA from 1 species
CUCAGUCCAGUAUUCUGGCCUAGAGAAUUCCAUAAGCUGUAUAGUCCAUGGAGUCGCAAAGGGUCGGACACAACUGAGCGACUUGCACUUCAUUUCAUUUCAUAGUUGUCUGGACUGAUGCUGACAGCUUGACAAGAGUGGGCUACUUUUCAGCAGAUCCGAUCUGCAAGCAAGGGAGACCCAUAAGAGGGACCAGGAACUGAGUCAGUUUGGGAGUAUCAGGAAGAGCUCUGUAGGACUUGCCUUCUGGGUGGCCCUGCCAUCUUGGUUCCUGCUCACUCUUCCUAUUAUUGUUUAGUCACUCAGUCGUGUUCAACUCUUUUUGCAACCCCACCUACUAUAGUCCACCAGGCUCCUCUGUCCAUGGGGAUUUCCCAAGCAAGAACACUAGAGUGGAUUGCCGUUACCCUCUCCAGGGGAUCUUCCCAACCCAGGGAUCAAACCAGCAUCUCUUGUAUUGCCAGGUGGAUUCUUUACCACUGAGCCACGUGAAAAGCCGACUCACUCUUCUGCUGCUGCUGCUGCUGCUGCGUCACUUCAAUUCAGGAGAGCGACCAUCAGCCAAGUGCUGCAUUAGUCCUCACAUUGCCUUGUGAGCCCUGGUGUAUCAUCUUCAUCUCAAAGCUGUGAAAACCAAGACCCAGAGUUAAUUAGAGCUCACCCGAAGGCCUCCAGCUACAAAGCCAAGCUGCCAAUCUGAGUCCAGCUGAGCCCUCUCCACUACACUGCCCGCCUGCACCUCUGCUCUAGAACCAGCUAUUGGACAUGGUCGGGCUCAUGCAGAAUGGAAAGGACAGAAAGGAGUGGCCUUCAUUGGAUGGUCAGCAGCCUCUGUUGUCCCAGGAGAAGCAGCACAGCAUUGAGGUUAUGUGUAAAUCCUAUAAGGAACACAGAAAGGGAGAGAAAGAAGAAGAAAGAAGAGACAAAGUGAGUCGAGAACAGGGAGUGAAAGAUACUUCCAGAGUCACCCUUACUAUCCCUACUCUGACAGAUGGGGAAACUGAGGCUCAGGAUGGCGAGAGAUCAAGCAUUCCUGUGGAGGUGCUGCACCGGCCCAGAGUGACCAGCCCUUCAGCAAAGAGCAAAGUGUUCUCUCGGCCAAAAGCCAGAGGGAGGCAGGCCCAUAAGCCAACCCGGUGCCAAAGGUGUGGCUAAGAAUUCUUGAUCGGUGUUUUUAGAUAAUUUUAUAAAACAUAUCAGUAAUAUUUGUGUAAGGAAAAGUGUUUUUACACUGUUCACCCAGCAACCCCUUCUCUUCCAUCUUGUUAUGUGAUGCCUUGAGCUG